rnacentral:lncRNA from 1 species
CACGGUUGAAAUGGGCAUGAAAACAACCUUCUACUUGUGGGCUCUUCUGCAUCUCUUCUCAGGUGAAAGCAGUUCAGACCCACAGUGCUGCAGGUCUGGAGAAAAUGUGUACUUACAUCUACAAAAUGAAAAUACAAGUUUUGAAGAUGUAUCAUGGGUAUUCAGCACUAGUGAAAUCGUAGGCAAUUUUAAAUGCAUUUUCAAAUCGUCAGCAGAACUUUUCCAAAACGGGACACUAAAAAUCAGCAACAUCCAGGCAAACUGGAGUGGAGAAUUCACUGCUACUGGUUACGAUGGGAGAGGAGCAAAUACUGUGAAAGAGACACAUCACCUGCUUGUACUCGAUCCUCCAGAGGUUCAUUUAACUGUGUGUAUCAAUGGAACAUCAGUGUUUUACUGUGCCAAUGAGAAUGGCCAUGAUGUUACACACACCUGGACUGUCAAUAACAGUGCCCUGGGAGAAGAGACUCUAUUCAAUAACAGUAAUAAGCAUGUAAUUCUAGCGAACAUGUCUGGAACUGUCCGCUGCUCUGUGGAGAAGAAGGGCUGCAGUUUUCAUAGUGAACCUCUCAACUUUUCAUGUAGAAGAAGCAUUUUGCACAGUGAAAUUUUGUCCUUGUCAAGCUUAAGUAAGUCAAAAUACACUUGUCAAAAAUACAAAAGAAGUAUUGUGACAAUAUUUUCCAUUUUAUUAGUUUACCAGAAAUUAAUAAUGAACGUUUACAUUUAUUGA